UGUUCAUUUGUCAGGAAGAGAGAGCUUCUUUGCUGUCUUGUGUUGGUUGUUGCCCAGUGACAGUUCUGUUGACACUAUUUGGUAGCCGCUACUUCUAAGGUAAGACCUGGAUGGACUACCCCCUGUAUUUUGGUUGGUGCGCCAGGAGGUUCUGAAAGGUUAGGGCAAACCCGGACGACGCUGGGCCAAUUGUGCGCCUCCUUAUGUGACUCCCUAUCACUGCCGGUUGUGAUACAGCCUUGAAUCGAACCAGGGUGCCGCCUCAAGCUCUGAGAUGCAGUGCCUUAGACCCUCAAGCGCUGAGAUGCAGUGCCUUAGACCGCUGCACCACUCGGCAGCCCCUCAUGCAAGGUUUCCAGUAAUCACUUCCAGUAAGCUGAGAUUGCCAGAGGCAAGAAGUAAAACAAAAAAAGCAUGACCAACUGAGACAUUACUUAUACUGUCCUGAGACCCUGGAGAAGAUCUACUCUAGUAGCUACAGGUGCAUGAUAAGAGACAACUGGUUUACAACAACAAUCAAUGACAAGUGAUACUGACCUGAGAAAUAGUUUGUCAGCUUUAAUGUGCAUUUGUUAGGUUAACAUCUGUAAAUCUUAUUCUGUUGUACUGUAGCCUUGUAAAGACUCAUGGAGACAACGUGUCGUCUCUUUUCCACAACUUUAUUGUCUUGAUAAGGUCAAUCACAAUCAUAAGUUGUUCACUUAUAUUACACCUUGAGGUAAUGAAUCACACAGCUGGGAGAUACAGGAGAAUAUUCACACAUUAUAGAGCGUGUCGGUCUAAUCCUGAAUGUUGAUUAGUUAAAACGGCAUUCCACCCGGUGCAUAUUCCACAAGCUACCACCGGCUAAAUCUAUGACUUUAAAAUGCCUAUUUACUCUGUUCCAACUGACUGCGCAAUCCACUGUCUCAUCAGCCCAGCCAGGCAAUUUAUAAACUUGAUAGAAUGUUCACACAAUCACAUCUCUUUGUACUAAUACAACAAAUGUACCAUUUUAGUCUAGCUUUAGAUAGCUGUACUGUUAUUAUAGUGAAGCUGAGACUGAUGAUUAGAAAGAUACUGUUAUUUUGUUACAAUGGUACAAAGUCAAAUGAUGAAAAAUACACCUUAUGUGCUCCAUUACUGGAUGGCUCACAUUUUUUCUAAACCUGAAUUAAACAAGCGACAACAACA